UGUGUUCCUAUCAAUUUAAACAGCGGUCGGCAACCUUUUGGCAGGCAAGGGCCACAAGGUGUUAAAACAAACUAAAGGCGGGCCGCAGGCCUCAUACUCAUAUUAACCCUAGAAGCUCAGUAUACCUACACAUAAUGAAG